GGAGGAUCUGCCUGCUGUCAGUGAAGAUCAGAUUUGUGACCAUCUAAAGAACCUGCAGGUGCACAAGUGCGUGGGACCCGAUGAGCUCCGUCCACGAGUUCUGUGGCAAAUUAAGUUGACAGGCUACUAUCCAUCAUAUUUGAAAGGUCAUGGCAGCCUCGUAAAGUUCCCACUGAUUGGAAAAGGGGAAACAUAACCCCCAUUUUCAAGAAAGGAAAAAAAGAUCCAGUAAACUGACAGCCACUCAGUCUUACCAGUGUACCUGACAGGACCAUGAAGCCUGAAGGCCUCCUGAAGGCUUCCUGAAGGCCCUACUGAAGUGCAUGGAAAAUAAGGAGGAGGUGACUGGUGGUAACC
rnacentral:lncRNA from 1 species